GGCCUCGUAGCUCAGUUGAAUAGAGCACCAGAUUCCGGUUCUGACGGUCGCGGGUUUGAGUCCCGCCGAGGUCA
rnacentral:tRNA from 1 species